CACGUAGGAGGCGAGCGUUGUCCGGAAUCAUUGGGCGUAAAGAGCGCGCAGGCGGCUUGGCAAGUCGGGUGUGAAAUCCCGGGGCUCAACCCCGUGACUGCAUUCGAUACUGUCAGGCUAGAGGUAGGUAGGGGAGAUCGGAAUUCCUGGUGUAGCGGUGAAAUGCGCAGAUAUCAGGAGGAACACCCGUGGCGAAAGCGGCUCUCUGGGACGGUACUGACGCUGAGACGCGAAAGCGUGGGGAGCAAACAGG
rnacentral:rRNA from 1 species